GACGAACGCUGGCGGCGUGCCUAACACAUGCAAGUCGAACGGAAAGGCCCUGCUUUUGUGGGGUGCUCGAGUGGCGAACGGGUGAGUAACACGUGAGUAACCUGCCCUUGUCUUUGGGAUAACUUCAGGAAACUGGGGAUAAUACCGGAUAGGAGCUCCUGCUGCAUGGUGGGGGUUGGAAAGUUUCGGCGGUUGGGGCUGGUUUCGCGGCUUAUCGGCUAGUUGGUGGGGUAGUGGAUUACAAAGGGUUUGACGGGUAGCCGACCUGAGAGGGUGACCGGGGACAUGGGGACUAAGGUAGGGACCAGACUCGAACGGGAGGCAACAGGCGGGAGUAUUACACAACGGGGGGGAGCGAGUGAUGGCGGCCCCCGGUGCGGAAAACCGGCCUACUGGGGAUAAACAACUUUGUCAGGUAACGUGGCGUGAGUGACGGUAAUUGGUAAAAAAGCCCCGGCUAACUACGUG
rnacentral:rRNA from 1 species